rnacentral:piRNA from 1 species
ACCCCAAAGGCUCUUUUCAGAGC